UAUAACUUACAACUGCCUGGAGUGUUUUUAUUGUCUGGUUCAAACAUCUUGAUGGACAAAACAUUCCUACUGACUCUCUCUGGAACUCUCUCUCUCUUGAAGUCUGCCAAAGCCUGAGCUUCAGCAUGCACAAAACACACUGUGCACUCUGCCUCCUAAUGGAAGUCGCAUGUGUUUUUCCCCCCAAGUAUGCACUGGAUGCUCAUACUCACUAUAUUCAGCCAUCACACCAAUACAGAGACUGAUGACUGUGCUAGCCUGGUGGGAUUCAAGAGGACCUUCUGUGAGAGAAUGGACAUGUGAGCA